CAUGGAGGGUGAGAAUCCCGUUCAUGGUUAAUCUUAAGGAAGCUCUACGAUACGUUUUCCAAGAGUCGAGUUGUUUGGGAUUGCAGCUCAAAAUGGGAGGUAAAUUUCUCCUAAGGCUAAAUAUUGGCGAGAGACCGAUAGCGAACAAGUACCGUGAGGGAAAGAUGAAAAGAACUUUGAAAAGAGAGUUAAACAGUACGUGAAAUUGUUGAAAGGGAAACGAUUGAAGUCAGUCAUACCAACGGGAAAUCAACCUCUUGAGCUCGGUCUCGUGGGUUUUGAAGAGUUUCAAAGCCUUCGGAUUCGCGGGAUUGGGAUCUCUUGGUGUACUUUUUCGUACGGUUAGUCAACAUCGGUUUUGAAUGUCAUAAAAUGACUGGAGGAAUGUAGCUUCGAUCUCGUAUUGAAGUGUUAUAGCCUUUGGUAGAUGUGAUGUUUGAGACCGAGGAUUGCAACGGAUACCCUUCAGGGCUAUUCGUCUGAUCUCUGAUACGUUGCCUUGAUGUUGAAAGCUUGCUUAUGAUGUUAGGGUAUUACGGUCAAAAGGUUAGAACGGAUUACAUUCGUUAAGGAUGUUGACGUAAUGG
rnacentral:rRNA from 1 species